UACGUAGGGUGCAAGCGUUGUCCGGAAUCAUUGGGCGUAAAGCGCGUGUAGGCGGCUUGCUAAGUCCGCUCUGAAAGCCCCGGGGCUCAACCCCGGGAGGCGGGUGGAUACUGGCAAGCUUGAGUCCGGAAGAGGCGAGUGGAAUUCCUGGUGUAGCGGUGAAAUGCGCAGAUAUCAGGAAGAACACCCGUGGCGAAAGCGGCUCUCUGGAACGGUACUGACGCUGAGACGCGAAAGCGUGGGGAGCGAACAGG
rnacentral:rRNA from 1 species